rnacentral:rRNA from 1 species
UACGAAGGGGGCUAGCGUUGCUCGGAAUCACUGGGCGUAAAGCGCACGUAGGCGGACUCUUAAGUCAGGGGUGAAAUCCUGGAGCUCAACUCCAGAACUGCCUUUGAUACUGGGAGUCUUGAGUUCGGGAGAGGUGAGUGGAACUGCGAGUGUAGAGGUGAAAUUCGUAGAUAUUCGCAAGAACACCGGUGGCGAAGGCGGCCAACUGGUCCGGAUCUGACGCUGAGGCGCGAAAGCGUGGGGAGCAAACAGG